rnacentral:lncRNA from 1 species
GCUGGGGCCUGGUGGCAAUGCCCAGAAAGGCCAAGGAAAAAGUUUAACAAAAUUUGUUUUCUAGGCCUGGGGCCGGUUGUUCAAAGGUGGGUUAGCACUAACUCUGGGUUAAAAUUUAAUCUGCUGUUUUAGUUCAUGUAUUUGUGCAAGUCUGUUUAUUUCAAAACUUCAGAAAAGAGAACUCCUAUUGAUCCUGACAAGAUUUCUGAAGAACUAUUUAACUAUUUCCAAAUUUAUAAACAAGCUGUCAGGAAGUUUGCUUUGAAUUUUGUUAACCCAGGGUUAAACUAACCCAGCAUUGAACAACUGGCCCCUGCAUGGCAAGAUCUGAGACCAUAAUAUUGGUAAUUUUACAAAUUUAGUAGUAAGAAUAAUCAAAUAUGAAACUAUCAAAUCAAAAUAUAUAUAAUUUGCGGGGUG